rnacentral:rRNA from 1 species
CCUACGGGAGGCAGCAGUCGAGAAUCAUUCACAAUGGGGGAAACCCUGAUGGUGCGACGCCGCGUGGGGGAAUGAAGGUCUUCGGAUUGUAAACCCCUGUCAUGUGGGAGCAAAUUCAAAAGAUAGUACCCCAAGAGGAAGAGACGGCUAACUCUGGGCCAGCAGCCGCGGUAAUACAGAGGUCUCAAGCGUUGUUCGGAAUCACUGGGCGUAAAGCGUGCGUAGGCGGUUUCGUAAGUCGUGUGUGAAAGGCGCGGGCUCAACCCGCGGACGGCACAUGAUACUGCGUGACUAGAGUGAUGGAGGGGGAACCGGAAUUCGCGGUGUAGCAGUGAAAUGCGUAGAUAUCGAGAGGAACACUCGUGGCGAAGGCGGGUUCCUGGACAUUAACUGACGCUGAGGCACGAAGGCCAGGGGAGCGAAAGGGAUUAGAUACCCUUGUAGUC